AUUUUCAAGAAUUCUUUUAGAAUCUUGUUUUAUCAUACUAUAUUCGAGUUGUGUACUAAUCAUGUCACAUAUCUGUGUUUUGGUUCUACACAAUUUUGAGACGCAUUUAUUCUGCGUAUGAAUAAUAAUUAACUUCAGCUUGGGAACAGUAACUAACACACACACACACACACACACACACACACACACACACACACACACACACACACACACAGGUGUGUGUGAGGAGCAAUGUUUUAUCUUAGGAUUUUUAUUAUUCCCCCCUUUAAUGGGGUGUGGUCCAGCUGAAUGAAUAAAGAACCUUAGAUUUCUCUCUUGCUGUAUUGCUAUAAAUUUCCGGUAUUUAAAUCAUUCCCGGGGGCUUUUAAGAUAAGUAAGCAUGACAUGACUACAUGUUUAUCUGUGGGGUUGUGUGUAUUGUCAGGUCUGAUUUGUGGAUUCUGAUGACUACAAAAUUCAGUGAUAUUACAAUUUGGGUUUCUAUUUUCUAAAGCACAUAACUCCACCUGACCACUUGAAGGAAUACAAUCAAUGAUUUGUGAAACAUUUCAUUGUCUGUAUUUAUUUGUAUAUAAAAUAUAGAACAUAUAUUACAUUGAAAUUGUAAUACCAUGAUAAUUUGAUCGAUAGACCUAUAGCUGAUGGAAUUGGUAAGCUAUCUUUCUGUCAACUUUUUCAUUAUCUUUCAUCAACCCUGACCUUAGGUGGAGUUCUGCCGCAGUCAGCCAGUUUCCUUUUGGCCUAGAUAGUUUCCCCUCCCCAAGAGCGGUCGACCAACAAAGAUCACUCCAAGAGUAAAACAUAUAAUAGUCCAUGUCAUCAUAAAGGAACCCAGGGUAGUUUCUAAGCAAGUAAAGGCCUCUCUCACAUUGUCUAGUGUUCAUGAGUCCACCAUCAGGAGAACACUGAACAGCAAUGGUGUGUAUGGCAGGGCUGCAAGGAGAAAGCCUCUGCUCUCCAAAAAGAACAUUGCUGUCCCUCUGCAGUCUGAUAAAGAUCACAUGCACAAGCCCGAAGGCUAUUGGAAAAAUGUUUUUGAAAAAGAAAACUUUUUGCUUUAAAUGAGAAGCAGACAGGAAGUGGGUCAUUCAAGACAAUGACCCUAAGUACACAAGUCAUUCUACCAAAGAAUAAAGUUAAUGUUUUGGAAUGGCCAAGUCAAAGUCCUGACCUUAAUCCAAUAGAAAUGUUGUGGAAGGAUCUGAAGCAAGCAGUUCAUGUGAGGAAACCCAGCAACAUCCCAGAGUUGAAACUGUUCUGUACUGAGGAACGGGCUAAAAUUCCUCCAAGCUGAUCAAUAGUUACUGGAAACAUUUAGUUGCAGUUAUUGCUGCACAGUUAUUAUUGAAAGCAAAGGUUCACCUACUUUUGCCACUCACAAAUAUGUAAUAUUAGAUAAUUUUCCUCAAUAAAUAAAUGAUCGAUAUAAUAUUUUUGUCUGAUUUGU
ensembl:lncRNA